GAGUUUGAUCUGGCUCAGAUUGAACGCUGGCGGCGUGCUUAACACAUGCAAGUCGAGCGGUAACAGGUGUAGCAAUACAUGCUGACGAGCGGCGAACGGGUGAGUAAUGCUUCGGAAUCUGCCCAGUAGUGGGGAAUAACGUAGGGAAACUUACGCUAAUACCGCAUACGAACUACGGUUGAAAGCAGGGGAUCGCAAGACCUUGCGCUAUUGGAUGAGCCGAAGUCGGAUUAGCUAGUUGGUGAGGUAAAGGCUCACCAAGGCGACGAUCCGUAGCUGGUCUGAGAGGACGACCAGCCACACUGGGACUGAGACACGGCCCAGACUCCUACGGGAGGCAGCAGUGGGGAAUAUUGGACAAUGGGGGAAACCCUGAUCCAGCGACGCCGCGUGUGUGAAGAAGGCCUGCGGGUUGUAAAGCACUUUUAGUGGGGAUGAAAAGCCAAGGGCUAAUACCUUUGGUCUUGACCUAAACCAAAGAAAAAGCAACCGGCUAAACUCUGUGCCAGCCGCCGCAGU
rnacentral:rRNA from 1 species